GACUCUCGGCAACGAAUAUCUCGGCUCUCGCAUUGAUGAAGAAUGUAGCGAACUGUGAUACUUGGUGUGAAUUGCAAAAUCCCAUGAACCAUUAAGUCUUUGAACGUAAGUUGCGCUCGAAGCCAUUUGAUCGAGAGCACGUUUUCCCGGGUGUCA